UGGCCGGUGCUUCCACAUCUUAUUUGAUCUUCAGACAAUCCUGUUAAAUAGGCAGCGUUCCUCUCUUCACAGACAUUGAGAAAUAGCUCCCAAAGAAUCACCGUUUACCAGAUGAAGAGUAUAUACAUGAACAAAAAAGUCAAAUGCCCACCUUGCAUGUAUGAUUGGUUAGCGUAUUUGGAGAGAGAAGAUUGUCCUUAAAUCUUACUCAGUCCACCAGAAACUGCUCUGCUUCCUGGGCAGAGCUUUUGCUUCUCUUUCUGCUGUAUCUUCCUGCAAGUGCUCACCACCAGUCCCACACGUACCAGGAGAACAUGGGGAAGGCUCGGAGCAACCCAAGUCUGCGGUCAGAACUAUUCAAGAAGACCUGUGCUAAUGAGGAGCCUGAGAGUCUCAGAAACAGGAGGACGUUCACGCAGCAGACAUGGACACCAGACAGGCCCGAGCCAGCAGUGUGGACCAGAUCCCUCUUCUACUACCGCAGGGGCUGCUGUGGAGGCUGGAACGAGGCUGCGCCUGCAGAGGAGGUUAAGAGGACCCGGUUUGGAGAGGCUUUGAGAGAGCGGGUGGAGGAAGAGGUUGCCAUGGGGGCCCGUUUCUGAAACAUUCGAUUCCAGCAAGGAGGCCAGACAGUGUGCAUGGUGAGGGCCAGGGACAGCAGCUUCCAGGCCUUGUGUCUCAGGGGCCUCAGUAGGAUCCACGGCUGGAGUUGGAUUAGGCCCUAAGGGUCAAGUGGGUAAACUUCUCACCCUGUAAGCGUGAAGGGCAUCACCAUGUCCUCAGGUGGCCUCUCCCAUCAGCCCCUGCUUUCCAGUCUCCCCGGCUUCCCAAGUCUCCCCAACUGCGCACACGCUGCCCUCCAUCCCCAGGCUGCACGCGCUCUGCCAGACCCUCCCGGGGCCAGCUGGCCAUGGGCCCCGCGAAGCAGCCUCAGACCACGGCUCCUUUGGCUUCUCCUUUCUACCCUCGCAUCUCAUUCCACUGGCCAAGGCCUUCGGGCUGGGCUUUAACCAAGGGUGGGUCUGCUCCCCUCCCCCGAGCUGCUCCUAAGACUGGCCUUGUCCAGAACCGGGGUGCUGAUGCGGCCCUGCUGCCCCCCACUCCCACCCCAAGAGCUGUCACGGUCCUUGGAGGAAGGACCUUCGAGAUGCUGUCUUGCACCCCUGGCUGUGGGGCCUCUCCCGCCCAGGAACGCCUGGUCCUGGGACUGCCCGGAGGAUGCCGAGUCCCGAGUUCUCUCACCCUGGGCUUGGGGUGCCUGGAAGCCGUUGCGUGUCGGUUUUCCGUUCCGUGGUGCACCGCUCUCCACAGGCUUCUCCCCUAUCGGGCUUGCUUCUUCGUGCCUCAUGCCCAAGCCCCCCUCUUGGCUCCAGCUUGGUUCUCUGGAGCAGCCGGGAACUGCUGCGAGGGAACUCUUCACAACUUCCCUGCUGCAAGCUAAGCACCCUCACUUAUGCUGGUUUCCAUACCGAGCUCCAUGAUGGCGUGCACUUUGCCGGGAGGCGCCACCCGCGGGACCAGACUAAGUGUUCAAGUGCUCAGAGCUGAGGAGGAUCACGGCCUGCCUCUAAGGACUCUGGGCGAAGGAGGAGUCUACGCAAGACAAGCUGAAGAAUAAGUCCUUUCAUAGGCGUCGUCACGGCUGCUUGCCCCUGGAUGACAACAGCAAGCUCAUGGCAGGCUUUCUUUCCUAACCCCUUUCAGCCACCAACUCCCUUUCAGAUGCAGCAGAAGCUGAGGCCAGCAGAAGACUUGAUCUAAGUGAUGCCUGAGACCCACACGGUGAUGGACCCACUUCUGGCUGAAGUCGCCAAGUCAGAACGGCAGAGGACGCAGAGACCCGCGGUUUCCAGCUCCACUUCCUUCCCUGUGCCUCGUGGAGAAACCAGGGCCUGAGUCUCCUCUUUCCAGGCAAGUACAGGCUCUGGAGCCCCAGCUGUGGGGCUAUGUUUUUGUUGCCAUUUUGGAAGAAGAAAAUUAAGAAAAACCAUCCUUUGUUUAGGGUUUGCCCUUUUGGGGUGGGGGGGAGUGAAUUUACAUUUUCUUGUAAUUUCAAACAUGCAAAAAUGUUGGAAGCAUAGCACAAAGAACCCUGUUAUGCCCCCUCUCAGAUGCACCAAUUAUUUACAUUUUGCUCAAUUUGGUUUAUUUGAGCAACAAAUUACUCUAUUACUCUGUUUAUGUAAACAUUCUUCUUCCUGAACUGAUUGAGAAUAAGUUGCUGAUCCUGUACCCCUUUUGCCCCUAAAUAUUGAGUGUGUUCUCUUGCAUAACCACAGGGCAAUCAGAAGAGACAUUUAUACAACACCGCUAGCUAAUAACAAUCCCGAUUUACAUUUCAUAUUUUUCUCAUCUGGAAUUGAAACCCAGAUCAUGCAGUAUCAUUUCUCUUCAGUCUGUUUCGAUGUGGAAACAUUUCUCAAUAUUUCAUUGUCCUUUGUGAGCUUAUGGAAGAGCAGGAGGCAGUUCUAUAGAAUUUCUCUGAGAAGGAGAGAAGCAUCCCUGACGUCCAGGCACUGGCAGAUCCCGCCAGUUGGGCCCUGGGGCUGCUCUGAGCAGCCGGCACCCACAGGAAGGGAUCAGUGUUCUGCUGAAGCCCAGCGAUAUCACAGAACCCCAGGGCCACUCUGUGACCAUGCUGGAUCAUGACAAAAACAAAACCACCUUAUGAUCAUGUCUCAACACAGAGAAAACACGACCAUUGCCAAAGCUGCAAAGUACCAGACACCCGCUCUGGCUAAUAAGUGACAGCUGCUCUAGCCUGCCCUCCCCACAGACAGGAUUAAGAUGUCUGGGCAUAACUUACCCCUGUGUCUCAACAGUAACCAACCCAGAGCAAAGCCCAUGCCCUUCAACCCUCCUCCACACCACCUGUCCCAAAUCCCAUAGGUCCUCCUAACAUGCUUUGAUAGGACGAAGAAUAAGGCUGGCUUGUCCAAACACAGGGAUGCUGCUGGCCAUCUUUGAUGGAUCCUCCCAACUGGGACUGGUUUGGGGUUUCACUGUGAUUAGACAAAGAAGCUGACGCCUCUAGGAUGGACACUGACUGAAUUUUAGAAAAUAACUUGGCCUGGGUGGCUUUUCAACAACCAGUUGAAUACAUUUUCCUUAAAUGUGAUCCGAGAGAUCACGGGGUCCCGGUUGUGGGCCAGAGGGGCCCUGCAGUCACUUUGGCCAUCCUCAGACAAUUCUCCAAAUUAUUGUGGAAUAUCUUGUUGUCCCAGAAAGUAAGGAUGCUUUCCCGGACGGGCAGUAGAAAUGGCAGGUCCUCAGU